rfam:Gossypium arboreum cultivar AKA8401 contig_151253_1, whole genome shotgun sequence.
AUCGUGAUGGGGAUAGAUCAUUGCAAUUGUUGGUAUUCAACGAGGAAUUCCUAGUAAGCGCGAGUCAUCAGCUCGCGUUGUCUACGUCUCUGCCCUUUGUACACACCUCCCGUCGCUCCUACCGAUUGAAUAGUCCGGUGAAGUGUUCAGAUCGCGGCAAUGUGGGCAGUUCGCUACCCGCGACGUCGCGAUAAGUCCACUGAACCUUAUCAUUUAGAGGAAGGAGAAGUCGUAACAAGGUUUCCGUAGGUGAACCUGCGGAAGGAUCAUUG